rnacentral:lncRNA from 1 species
CUAUAUUGAACAAGUCCACUUUCAAUGAAAAUGCUGUUUUAAAAUCUAUGGCAGAAUGGCAGUUUGACCCAGAAUCCACAUCGGAAUCACUCCCAGAAGGGAAAUUUGAGGAAGCAUCUGAAUCUUCCAAUAUAGAACUGACAGAAGAAGACAGCAGCUUCACCGGAUUGAAUUCAGCCAUUACUAGUGAAAUGACAUGGAUAGAUCAGAAAAUGAAGAAGGUACUUUCAUAUAACAAACAUUAAUCAAGGCCAGCCUUUUCA